rnacentral:miRNA from 1 species
UGCAACUAUGACUGAGGGACUGG